AUGGAGGCUCCUGGAGCUGCUCUUGCCGGUGACGGUCUCCAGCAGCAGCACCCCGAAGCUGUAGACGUCGGCCUUCUUGGUGAGAUGGCCGUACAGCGCGUACUCCGGGGCGAGGUACCCCGCGGUCCCCGCGACGCGGGUGCUGACGUGCGUGGCGGCGUCCGGGAAGAGCUUGGCGAGGCCGAAGUCGCCGAUCUUGGCGCCGUAGCCGGCGUCGAGGAGGACGUUGCUGGCCUUAAUGUCCCUGUGCACGAUGGGGCCGGACCCCAUCUCCUCGUGCAGGAACGCCAGGCCCCUGGCGACGCCGACGCACACGCCGCGCCUGAUCGCCCAGGUGAGCCUGGAGGGGUCGCUGGCGGAGGCGAGGAGGGCGCCGUGGAGGCUGCCGUUGCGGAGGAGCUCGUAGACGAGGAUGCGGUGGCGGCCCUCCACGCAGCAGCCCAGCAGGGACACCAGGUUGGGGUGGUCCACGUUGGCGAUGACGUCGAUCUCGGUGAGGAACUCCCUGGUGCCCUGCCGGGAGUGCGCGGACAGCACCUUGACCGCCACGUCGCCGCCGCCGUCCCGCAGCGCACCCUUGUAGACGGCGCCGAAGCCGCCUCGCCCGAUGUGGUUGCUCCGGUGGAAGUUGUUGGUCGCCGACCGCAGCUCCGCGUAGGAGAAGAGCUUGAUCUUCUUCUCAGAUGA
rnacentral:rRNA from 1 species